GGUGGUGACCAUCCCGAAGCAACUGGGCCCCUUUCUAUGUCUUAGUACAUUUUGAUUCUUACAUCUUGUAUUAUUGCAUUAUAGGAUGAUUGUGCAUUGCUUUUCCUUAUGCUUUCCUUGAUGAUAUCGUAGCAUGUACUGGAUACCUGAUAUAGUGGAUUGAUAAGGAUUGUGUCGAGACUUGUGAAUCCUAUAGUGCAGAGAAAAAGAUGGGCUCAAUGGUUGGUUUAAUGUUAAACAAAGAACGAGUGGCAACUAGUUGAUAGUAAACAAUGAACGAGUGGCAUUUAGUUGAUAGUAAGCAAAAGAACAAAUGACACAUAUGAGUCGUAGAGUAUGUGAAACCUAUGGACUAUAUGAUGAUUGUAACCCUAGAGGAUAGGGUAUUCUCGAGACGAGGAUUGGAUCAUGCUCACGGUCUGUUUUUAAAUCUUGUGAUGGAAGCCCCACACAAGUAGUGCGCUCCGGAGUUGGUCACGUGGGAUCGCCUAUUUUGGGUCCCAAGGGAUCGCCUAUUUUGGGUCCCGGCAGACGGUCUCGGUUCGUAGUGCGAGUUAACCCUCCCUACCUUCGAGAUGGCUAGUGAGCAGUAGGCGAACCUUCAGGGAAGCCACGAGAUUAAGAAACAAGUAAAUGAGAUUGAUGAACAAGUACUUAGCUUUACCUUUUUGACAUGACGACAGGUUAGUUGCUUACCAUUUCACUGGACAUGCAUUCAUAUAUCUAUGAUUGGGCAUAGUAGUGUAGCUUUACUUUCCUGUCCUUACAGCUUUUCUUAUUAUCUAUAUAUCGAUAUAUCUACUUUUGCCCACUUGGACCUAGUGGGGAGAUCGGCGGAGUCGGCGGCCGAACCCACUGGGAACUAUGGAAGAUAGUUCUCACCCCACUUUUACAGGUUCGAGUUCGAGGGUCCCUGGCGAGUGUGAGGAUCGCGGUAAGGGCCUGGCGCCCUAGUUGCAUUAGCUGCCUACCUUUUCGCUUUAGCUUCACCCUGUUAUUAUGUUUGAGAGUAGAUGUUGUAUAGGGUGAGGCAUGAGUGUUGUACAUAUGUUUUGGGAAUGUUGUAAAGAAUGGAAUUAAAUGUAUUAAGGUGAAUGAGUGAAUGUAAUAGAUAGAACUUUCUCUCUUUAUGUACUUGUAUGUUUUAUACUUGUAUCUUGCUCUCGCUUGUUAGCACCGGUGGUGCUCCUUGUGAUCGUGUUUUUUUCGAAUUGAUUUCCUGGGCAAUUCCCUAUACAUGAUCGGUUGGCUAGCCUUGGGCGGACAGGGGAGGUCCUGUCUGUUCGGCGUCUGUUCGACGUGCCCGAACCGGACCAAAUUGGUAGCGGUCUCGGGGCGUGACACAAGGGUUCCAAUGCACUUUCGCACUUCGGAGUGGCCUUUCUCUCAUCGGAAUCAUCCAAAGGCCCACUACGAGCGAUGUGAGACUAGAUUCACUCACAAUUACCACUUGUAGCAUCGAAAGUGCAUUACAAUUCUACGAACCUCAGUGGCAGUGUGAGUCGAUAUUCAUGACUCCCGCACCAACAUCACCAGCCACUUGGCUAAAGAAGGACCUAUUCCUUUGCGGUUCCUUCGAACAUCACAAUCCCUCGAGAUCAGGACUACCCUUCGUCUCUGUGGUGUGGAUUUAGGAAGAUCGCAUCAACUCGAUGAACGAUCCACCACCACAACUCUAUGUGCACGGGUAGACCCUCUCGGCUUACUCAAGUACUCACCAGGUGGCACUUCACCACUUUGGCUAUUUGGAAGCCUGAUACCACCUUAUCAUCUCAUUGAUACCAUCUCUUUCUCAUCCAUUAACUUGGGGAACACACUCCGAUCUGAGUACCGG
rnacentral:lncRNA from 1 species